rnacentral:rRNA from 1 species
UACAGAGGGUGCGAGCGUUAAUCGGAAUUACUGGGCGUAAAGCGUGCGCAGGCGGUUUGAUAAGUCAGAUGUGAAAUCCCCGAGCUCAACUUGGGAACUGCGUUUGAAACUGUCAGACUAGAAUAUGUCAGAGGGGGUAGAAUUCCGCGUGUAGCAGUGAAAUGCGUAGAGAUGUGGGGGAAUACCAAUGGCGAAGGCAGCCCCCUGGGAUAAUAUUGACGCUCAUGCACGAAAGCGUGGGGAGCAAACAGG